rnacentral:rRNA from 1 species
UGCAUUUGCAACCUGAGCUCAGACGUGAUUACCCGCUGAACUUAAGCAUAUCAU